UAGAGUUUGAUCCUGGCUCAGAUUGAACGCUGGCGGCAUGCCUAACACAUGCAAGUCGAACGGCAGCACAGGUAGCAAUACCGGGUGGCGAGUGGCGGACGGGUGAGGAAUACAUCGGGACCUGCCCAGACGUGGGGGAUAACGUAGGGAAGCUUACGCUAAUACCGCAUACGUCCUACGGGAGAAAGCGGGGGAUCUUCGGACCUCGCGCGGUUGGAUGGACCGAUGUUCGAUUAGCUAGUUGGUGAGGUAAUGGCUCACCAAGGCGACGAUCGAUAGCUGGUCUGAGAGGAUGAUCAGCCACACUGGGACUGAGACACGGCCCAGACUCCUACGGGAGGCAGCAGUGGGGAGUAUUGGACAAUGGGCGCAAGCCUGAUCCAGCAAUGCCGCGUGUGUGAAGAAGGCCUUCGGGUUGUAAAGCACUUUUAUCAGGAGCGAAAUACUACGGGUUAAUACCUCGUGGGGCUGACGGUACCUGA
rnacentral:rRNA from 1 species